GUGAACAAGGUUUCCGUAGGUGAACCUGCGGAAGGAUCAUUGGAACAAGGUUUCCGUAGGUGAACCUGCGGAAGGAUCAUUA
rnacentral:rRNA from 1 species